rnacentral:ncRNA from 1 species
GCGGCUUAAUUUGACUCAACACGGGAAAAUUUACCCGGCCCGGACACAGGAAGGAUUGACAGAUUAAGAGCUCUUUCUUGAUUCUGUGGGUGGUGGUGCAUGGCCGUUCUUAGUUGGUGGAAAUUAGACUUUUUGGACACUUUUCCAUAUCCAUGGAAACUUUCAAAAUUUCCUUAAUGAUUUGAAUUCUAAUUCUUAUUUACCUCUUAAAAACUUAUUAACCACUUAAAAAAAUUAUUUUUGUUUACUUCUCUUUUUCAUCAACAGAUAGUGUAUUGCACUUUGUUUCUUGUCAAUACCC